AUGAAUAAGGCUACGUCCACACGUACCAGCGUAUUUUUGAAACCGCUGAUUUUUCUAUGCGUUUGCACCUUUUGUCCACACGUAAUUUAUGUCUGGCCGUACAUUGUGUUUGUAUUUCCAGGCACAUUUCACGAAGCAGAACGCAGUCUUCAGAGAUAUCCACGUGAACGCUGUGAUACUGACCUUCAGUCCGAAGAAGAAACCCAGACCAGUCUUAAAAGAAAGCACAAACCAAAUCCCCUGUACACAUAUACGGACUCAGAGGAUGAGCAGCCUACAAAAAAACGGUUUCCCCAGGACCCUCGAGUGAAAAUACCAGCCCUCAUCACUCCACAGUCUGCCCCCCAGCCCACUGAUAGCAACCAUCAUAAUGCCCCACCCAGCUUCCAGCACCUUUCGCCACUCCGGCACAAACCGACACAGCUUUGCGAUCUCGCCAGCAUGCAGAGUCUGAUGUCUUCCCUAUAG
rnacentral:lncRNA from 1 species